GGGAGUUUAGCUCAGCUGGUUCAGAGCAUCUGCCUUACAAGCAGAGGGUCGACGGUUCGAAUCCGCCAACUCCCA
rnacentral:tRNA from 2 species